UACGAAGGGGGCUAGCGUUGCUCGGAAUCACUGGGCGUAAAGGGUGCGUAGGCGGGUCUUUCAGUCAGGGGUGAAAUCCUGGAGCUCAACUCCAGAAAUGCCUUUGAUACUGAAGAUCUUGAGUUCGGGAGAGGUGAGUGGAACUGCGAGUGUAGAGGUGAAAUUCGUAGAUAUCGGAAGGAACACCUGUGGCGAAAGCGGCUCACUGGACCAUUACUGACGCUGAGGCACGAAAGCUAGGGGAGCAAACAGG
rnacentral:rRNA from 1 species